GCCCGGAUGGCGGAAUUGGUAGACGCGUUGGUCUCAAACACCAAUGGCCGUAAGGCCGUGCCGGUUCGAUCCCGGCUCCGGGUACCA
rnacentral:tRNA from 1 species